rnacentral:tRNA from 1 species
AAUGAGAUGCCUGACAAAAGGGCUACUUUGAUAGGGUAGAUCAUGUAGGCCUCCUACUCUCAUUG